UAGGGAAUCUUCUGCAAUGGGGGGAACCCUGACCGAGCAACGCCGCGUGAGUGAAGAAGGUUUUCGGAUCGUAAAGCUCUUUUGUUAAGGAAGAACGAGUGUGAGAAUGGAAAGUUCAUGCUGUGACGGUACUUAACCAGAAAGGGACGGCUAACUACGUGCCAGCAGCCGCGGUAAUACGUAGGUCCCGAGCGUUGUCCGGAAUUAUUGGGCGUAAAGAGUGCGUAGGCGGCAAAUUAAGUCAGAUGUGAAAACUAAGGGAUCAACCUAUAGAUUGCAUAUGAAACUGGUAUGCUUGAGGCAAGGAGAAGAAGGUAGAAUUCCUAGUGUAGCGGUGGAAUGCGUAGAUAGUAGGAGGAAUGCCGGUGGCGAAGGCCACCUUCUGGGCUUGUAAUGACGCUGGGGCACGGAAACGUGGGGGGCAAACAGG
rnacentral:rRNA from 1 species